CGGGGGGAGCAAGCGUUGUUCGGAUUUACUGGGCGUAAAGGGCGCGUUGGCGGCCACCGCAAGUCGACUGUGAAAUCUCUGGGCCUAACCCAGAACGGUCAGCCGAUACUGCGGGGCUAGAGUGCAGAAGGGGCAACUGGAAUUCUCGGUGUAGCGGUGAAAUGCGUAGAUAUCGAGAGGAACACCUGCGGCGAAGGCGGGUUGCUGGGCUGACACUGACGCUGAGGCGCGAAAGCUAGGGGAGCGAACGGGAUUAGAUACCCCGGUAGUCCUAGCCUUAAACGAUGAAUGCUUGGUGUCUGGGGUUUUAUAGUCCCCGGGUGCCGUCGCUAACGCUUUAAGCAUUCCGCCUGGGGAGUACGGUCGCAAGACUG
rnacentral:rRNA from 1 species